UCAUCAUCAGCAUUAUUAUGUAAACAAUCGAUAUAAUCGAUUUUGCAACCACCACCACCACCACCAGCAGUGAAUACUUUUAUAAAUGUCAUCGCUCAUUAGUUCCGUGUAUAAUUUUCAAUGGGUUGUAUUUAAUGAUUGAAUCCAAAAACAACAACAACGACGACAACAAAAUCCCAAUUUAAUCUUGCUAUCAGCUAUCAUUAUCUCGAUGAUGAUCAUCAUCAUCAUCAUCAAGAUUGUUUCUUUUUUCGUUCACAUGGGAAUAAAUCGAGAUUGACAAUAACAACAACAACAACAACAACGACAACGGCAACGACAACGGCCACAACAACCGAUGUUAAUUUGACUGAAACUUUCAUUUAUUCAUGUGCAUUUUCCAUGAUCUUCCAUCUUCACUGAUCAUUGAUCAUAGUGUUUUUUUUUCUUCAAAAUUGUUUCCAAAUUUUGAAUAAAACGCAUUUUUCUGGAAAUUUUGGAUCGAUCCAUCACCACCACCACCACUCCGAAAAAAUAUGAUCGGAAAUAUAAGAUUUACCUGUGAUAAUAAUAAUCAUCAGAUGUUGUGUUUGGAAGCUUUUUUUGUUUGUUUUUUGUUUGUCAACAAUGUUUGUUCAAUGAUUUACGGCAUUCAUGAUUAUAUAACGUAAACUAUACUCUCCAGACGACGACGACGACGACGGUUUUCACAGAUUUUCAUUAUUUGCGGGUGCUAAAACAUAAAAAAACCACUUGAAUUCUCGGAUAUUAUCAAAUUAAUUUUUUACCGGUGCCAGACACAAAUGUUUACACACACACACACACAUUUUGAAUUUGUUGCAUUUCUUCAAUACCGUAACAAAUCAAUUUUCAUUGAUUGAUUGAUUCAAAAACAAACAAACAACGUCAAUAAGAUGUGUGGCCAUAACAAUACAAGGGGAUAAUUGAUAUUGAAACAAAAUCAAUUUGCACAGUAUUUAAAUAUUCGAAUUUUUUUCA